AUUUAUGAAUAGUUUCAUGGUUGUCUCAUCGUCAAGAUUCAGUUGGAUUGAUUCGUAAUUAUUCAUGUUCAGUAAGUUUAAGUUGUUUUAUCUUUACCCUGUGCAAGCAUUAUUGAAAAUUAACAGAAACAAAGACGGAUAGAAUCACAAUUAUUGACAAACUGACUUAUUAUCAAAGUCUCAAUCUCUUUGAGUUGCGGCAACGACGUUCUUCAUAACAAACAACUUGUACUUCGCCCCAACAUGCUUCUUGCCAUUACUUGCACAAGUUUCUCCACUUAGAAUAAGGUAAAUUAUUUACCCAACAUAGACUGUAAAUAAUGUCUAAGUUCACAUGCCAUCUUGAGAUGCUUUCCAUACAAAAUUUUGUUUUUACCAAAAUGUCAAAUUCAAUAAUUUUGUAUUAUUGGACACACAUUUGAACAAUUAAACAAUAUCAAAUCAAUGUGCUGUAUAAUAACUGUUUCCUAACAAUUCAGUAAUAAUAAAUACAUGGUACAGCAA